rnacentral:lncRNA from 1 species
GAAGGGGCGGUGCUGAGGGGAGAGGCCGGGCCAAGGGAAGAAGCGUGCGAGAAAGGGUGGGGCGAGUCCAGCUACAGGAAGAGUAGCGUUACUAUGGCAACCCUGACAGGUUUGUGAGCAGCCCCCGGUCCCCUGCCGCUCCGUGAGAAAUCAAACUUCAGGCACUGACGAAGCAUGAAGCCAGCAUCUUAGGAAGAGGUAGUGACAUAAUUACAAGAUUUGUGCUGUGCACUAACAUGCAAUACAAAUACUGAUGAAAAUAAAACUAUUGCCCUCCUACCAAAUGAGAAAUUAAUGUUAUGACUGGAUGAAGACAAUUGUGAAGAAACUGCACUUUGAGGUUGUCUAUCUCUGUAUUCUGAUGGAAAAGCGUGGAGUUUAGAAGCACUGCUCACUCCUUCAGUUUCUAACAAGUUUGAGACUAUGGUUAGGUGGUGAGGAAGGCAGGCUCAGCACCCAAGCCUUGGGGAGACGCAGAAAGGGCCCAUCCCAGGCACUCAGGUGGAGGUGGUCUGUCCUAGAGAACGUUCCAUGUGGAUUUGAGAAGAAUAUAUAUUCUCAUGUUGGAUGCAGUGCUGUGCAUAUGUUUGUUAGGUUUAGUUGUUUUAUGUUGUUGUUCAUGUUUUCUAUUUUUUAUCUUCUGUCUACUUGUUCUAUCCAUUAAUAUAAGUGAAGCAUUAAAGUCUCCAACUAUUACUGUUGAA